GAGAACCAGAUGUGCUUAAACGUCCCUACACCUACUCCACACCGCCAACAUUUAUCCGUGGGAAGAUACUAUGCAGCUUAGCCGUUCUCACCAAGUGAACCGAUAUCUAGUAGAGAAAAGCGUCUGGCAUGGCUAGGCCACCCCUAUCUUUUGCUAAGAACACAGGGCUAUUAAUUGGCCCCGAAGGACACAUUUAUGGGAUUCCCACAAUAUCGCGGGAUUAGGUAAGUCAUUUUCUUUGAAAAAAAUUUCUUUCAUCUUUCGAAUUUCCUCUUUAUUCUCCUCUCUGAGAAAUAAUGAGUUGUUUAAUCUCCAAUUGAACUCUGGUUUACAGGAAUUAAGGAUUGUAAAAGUAGUUGCGACCGGUGAGUGG